UACGAAGGGGGCUAGCGUUGUUCGGGUUUACUGGGCGUAAAGCGCGUGUAGGCGGGUCGUUAAGGUGGGGGUGAAAUCCCGAGGCUCAACCUCGGAACUGCCUUCAAAACUGGCGACCUGGACUCAAGCAGAGGCAAGUGGAAUUGCGAGUGUAGAGGUGAAAUUCGUGGAUAUUCGCAGGAACACCAGUGGCGAGGGCGACUUGCUGGGCUUGUAGUGACGCUGAGACGCGAAAGCGUGGGGAGCAAACAGG
rnacentral:rRNA from 1 species